AUGCGUACCUUCAUGUUAGUAAAGUCAUUAGCACAUGGGAUGGUACAUCAGUUACAAAAAAACAUUGUCAUUUAUCGUACACACAUUAGCGAUUUUCACAUGUUCAUCCGCUACAGAAUAGGCCUCUCGACGACAUACAAAUUUUCACAUGUUGAGACACUACAGAAAAAGCAUAUGACAGCCAAACAAUCAACAAUGUGCACAUCAUCAUCUGUUCUCGCCAAGAGCCCAUUGUGCGUGGAACUAACGACCACUGAAACUGAAGUGCACCACUUAGUAAUCUGCAUUGCCAAUCAAUAG
rnacentral:rRNA from 1 species